CUGGUUCUACUGAGAGAAGGAUCAUAAAUCCCCCUGUAAAAUGGGCACUGGCAUAUGCGGAGGAAGCCAGGAAACAUCGCUCUGGAAGUCUUGUGACACCUUCCAAAGUGUUGCUCCAGCAGACCUCACUUGAGGACUUAGUUCUUCUGAAAGGCUCCAAUCGAAAUGUAUAAAACUAAGCGAGAGCCCCAUGCAGGGGGACAGUGCCUAAGCUAGGUUUCUAACUGCUGUCCCACUUUCUUGGACCUGCUUUCAGAUGUCCAAGUCUCUGCUUUCAGAUGAGUCAGAGACUGGAAUUUUUUUAUCUCAUUUUCUGGUCUUGUUCCAAUGUUGUGCAUGGCAAGUUCAUGCCCAAACUCCCGGCAAGGAAGAAUACUUACUGAUCCUGGCCUGCACUGCUAGGUAGUUUCUUACGACCAUGGGUGGUUCUUCUGGUGGUCCUCACUCUUUCAAACACAUAUUGGUUAAAAGCUUUAUGCGUUUUUAAAUAUUUGUUUAUUUAUUUAUUUAUUUAUUUAUUUAUUUAUUUAUUUAUUUAUUGAGACAGGGUUCUAGGAGUAGCCAUGACUGUUCUGGAACUCACUCUGUAGACCAGGAUAUCCUCGAACUCAGAGAUCCACCUGCCUCAGUCACCUGAGUGCUGGGAUUAAAGGUGUGCACUAGCACGCUUCUGGGCUAAGUUUUCUUUAUUUUACUAGCAUCAGUAAAUGUUUUCUUACAUGAGCCAGACUGGAGGACCAAAUGAGAAUGUUUAUAGGCAGAUUUUAGCCAGCAGGUUGUGUCUGCUGGGUUGCGUAGAACAGCUGGGACUUUGACCUAAGGAAGGUAGGCAGGGGGCUAACAGACUGGUCUUAGCCCUUUCCUGUCUCGCUUCAGAGAGGUUCAACCAUAGCUAAUAGGUGCUCUUCUUUAGUUAACCUGCCUAAAGAGGGAAAACAGAUUAAACAAAAGAAAGAAAGAAAAAACUCGUUUGCAGAGGUCCUACCCAGCUCUGCAAUCUUAUCUUCUGUGUCUGUGAAGAAGACGAAAAUCUUCGUGUCUUGGGAGGUUGAAGAAGACAAAAGAGGAGUUAGUUCUGCCUUAAUUUUAGUUAGAAGUAAGUUCUUUGAAUUAAACUCCAGAAGGCACACUCAGAACGAGAUAGUAAUGGUAAGUCCAGCACUGCCAUGGAGGUCAGGCUCUAAGCAGCCUGGGCACCUUCAUCCUGCUCGCGGGCCAAUCUCUGUGCCGUGCCCUUUAGGCGCGUACAAUGGGAAACAGAUGCAAGGUUUGCUCCUUGUAUGUUCCCGCCAGUAACCUGAGGAGAGGUCAAUUUCAUUCCCGUGCCUGGAACAUUCAACCGUUUUGGAUCAACUUUUCUUCUCCCUCCCCAAUGACCUGUGUGUUUGACCCUUAGAGAAACAAACUUUUUCUAAGCUCGACAUGGUUUUUAAAAGAUAAAGAUAUCCACAGAGGGAAGGACUGAGGGAAGCACUCCGUAAGGCUUGGUGGUGUUAAGACAAUAUGGUGGCUUCUCUUAAGAUGAAACAGGAGGCAGAAUUUUAAACGCACGCACGAUACCUUGACAGAGAGAGGCACGGCAGGGCAAUCUGUCAACGCCGAAAGAAGUGGGAGGCUAAGAACAAGACUACCAAAUCCAAAGCCAGGAGGAGCCAAGUUGCCUAAGGGAGCUCUGCUGAGAAGAGCUCAGUAGCCACUGAUCCGAGCUCCUGAAUUACAGCCAUCACUUAGUCUUUCAGAGCCAGAUGUUAGGAUGUAAGGCUAAGCUGCAAAACCCUACCUCAGCAGUGUGCAGGCAACACCUGGGAGAACCGUGGCUUUGAGGAGGUGAGAAGGUGAUUUGUUGAAGUUCCGUGGAACCAAGCUUCCUCAUAAGACUGAGACGGGGACAGAGAGACAAAGAGACAAACUCCGUGCUAUGUAAUUGGGUUGUAUACAAUGUAAUACAGUGGCCAGUUGGGGCGUGUGUGUGUGUGUGUGUGUGUGUGUGUGUGUGUGUGUGUGUGUGUGUGUGUGUAGCAAACACAGGAGUGAUGGUGUUGGUGCUGCUCUUAGGUGAAGUGAUUGGGUCUUAACUGAAGGAACUUUCAAGAGGAGAUGUGAACACAGCAUGAGGGCAGUCCCUAUAGUUGCCUGGGGAGAAAAGCUUCUCAGAUUUCAAGACUUAUGCAAAGGUCUUUGGGUAAAGUAGACUUAGCACACUUCUGUGGAACAAAGGCAAGUAGCAGGCAUGAGAGCCCAGACAGACACACAUGCACACGUGCACAGAAAGACAGACAUGCCCUCAUGCACACACACACACACACACACACACACACACACACACACACGCAUGCACGCACAGCCACAGGUGGGGAGAGCUUGAGGACUGGAGGAUUAGGAUCUGGGGCAAUCCAACAUUUAGAGGUCAGAGGUUGGGAAGAUCCAACCAAUGAGACUGAGGAGCAGCAGCCAUGGGGGGAAGGAGAGUACCACAUGCUAGACGCCAAGUGAAAGUGCACUUUUCGGAAAGCAGGGCGUGAUCGAUAGGCUGAGCUGCUGCUGCUGGUGGGGGCGUGUCCAUGGGGAGUCCUUCUGUCUUUGACAGAGAAAUGGGUGGUAGAGAUGAGCCCUGGCUUGGAUUGAAGAGUGUAGAGCAAUGUUAAGAUGAGUUUUGUUGAGAAAGGAGAUAGGAAAACUUGGACAUGGCCAGAGGAGAAACCAGAGCUUAUUGUGGUUCAGUAAACCCUUGAGGGGAAACAAACCAGUGGCUGUCAAGACAGGGGGAUCAUUUCUGGGGAGAAACUCGAGUCAGAGUGGACCUCACAUAAAUGUAAGGACAGUAAAUCCCUGGCAAGGUGGGAAGGCGGUGCGUUUGUCUAGGAAGGGGUAUGGAAUGCAGUUCUGAAAAGUCUGCUGAGCCCCUGUCUGAGUGGACCUGUUUCCACAGGGGAAAGGAUGUGGGCUUUGUCAGCGGAGAGUGGAGGAAGGUGGGCUGUGAGAGUUGAGGGGACGAAAACACAGUGCCAAGAGAUGCAGCAGGGUGUCUGAGCUUGGAGGGUCUUUGAAAGGUCUGUAUGGACACUUUGCUGCCCAGAAGACUGGUUUCUUCUCAUUGUUCCACCUCUUCUGCAUUGUGAACAAUACUGGGUGCUCGACAAGUUAGAGAGCUCUGUGUUUUCUGCAGUCAUUAGGGGCAAGACAAAAAUUUGACUUACAGUUGUUGUUAGAUUUGGCUGGUAGCCUCUUCUCUCUUUGAACUGUCCAUGUCUCAUGGACCAGUGGGAAGACAGACAGACGAAGGGCACACCAUGCUAAGGUCUGAAUGGGACAAAAGGCAUCUGUUUACUGAUUUGGCUUUGGAGAGUUUUGGGGUGGCUUCCUGGGGGUAGUGAUGACAGAGCUGGGUUUUAAAAGAGGAGGACGAUUUGUAAAAGAUGUCAGAAGGCCGUUUGCGUUAGAACUGGAGCACUGAGUUGAGAUUAUUAGGCGCAAUAUCAAUAUCAGAAUACAAACACACAAAGGCAGACAUGGACCAGCAGUUCGAAGAGUUAUUUUUACUGAAAACACAAAGUUCUCCUUACAAUUUUCCAGUGAAACAUUUAUAAUAGCGAGGAGUUGUAAACAGCUGGAAAUGGCAGCUGGAGCCUCAGAGCCCAAACCAAAGUAGUUAGCAGGUCAAAGGAUCAGGACAGGCAACUGGGAGAGGGUUCUUGUUUAGAGGACACUUGUACAUGGCAGGUGACAAGCAGGAUAGAGAGUCUUAACUAGAAGACUCUCAACCAGGGUGCAGGAGGAGGAAGGAGGCAAUUCAUCAGAAAGGGAGGUGGACCAGGAUCAGAAGUGGGACUUUGGCUGGUGAAAGGGCUCACUGUGUAAAAGCAAUUGGUGUGCAAGCUGGGUGACCUGGACUUGAUCCGUAGAACCCAUACUUUUUAAAAGGCACACCUCUGUAACCCCAGCUCUCCUAAAAUGAGGGGGAGGUAGAGACAGGAGGAUCGAUUGACCAGAAGUUCCAGCACCAGUUAGCCUAGAGUAUAAGCCAUGGCAGAGAGCGUGACACAGUCUUAGAGAACCAACUCCUGACAGCUGUGCUCUGACCUGCCGUCACUGUGUCGGGCACUUGCACAUAUACACAUACACACCAUACACACACGUAUAAAGAGACUGUGUUAAGAGUUCAAAUCUGGAACUCUAAGGAGCAUCUGAAUGUGACGGAAUGGAUGUAAAGGACACGAAGUUCGUGACAUUGGUGUGAGCAGAGAAAACAGGAAGUCGUAGACCUGGAGAAGAGAGGAAGGCCAGGAGGAGAGGGCGUUUCAGUGUGGGGCCUGGACACCCGUGACAAAAGAAGAUGCCCAAUAAGAUGUCCGUGUGCAAAGGCCCACUUCAGGGGAGUGGGCGCUGCAUGGGAGAAGACAUCCCUGAAAAGCUGAGAACUUGGACUGAGGGUGGCUCCUGAGAGACUAGAAGUGGACAUGGCAGCAACACUGCAGGUACCCUUCUUGGAGGCCUGAAGAUGGUGUUCCCUAAUGGUCGAGUUACAGAUAAUUGAGCCUCGAGGAUACAUCAGCUGUGGGAAACAGAGAAUGCCUGUGUCACUCCUGUGUCGUGAUGGUGAAACUGAGGCACAAAGCCUUCUGGGGAUGUGAAUGGGCAUCAACACUAGAGUCAAGGUGAGAAACAGGAAAAUGCUAGCAGGAAUAUUUGCUGGAAUCACAGACUCCUGCAGCUUCCCAAGGAUUUCCUCUUUCAAAUGGAGAUGAAACUCCUCCUACCCUCUUCAGCCCUGAAGCAAACUGGUCAGUAAGCAUCUACAGGCUUUCUUCAGCACUGGGUAAAUGAGUUCUGGGUGGUUCCUCCUGAGAGCCCUCCUCCUCGGGCAGUUGUUCUAAUGGUCAGGCUACCUGUGCCACACCACUUUUAAUAAAACAUCUUGCCUUAUCCUGUGCAAACAGGCACAGUCGGCAGCGAACUUCACAUCGUGGUGUCAUUUAGAAAAGCAAAUAACAGAUUUUUUUUUCCUUCAAUAAAACAGGAAAUGAAAUUAAAAACAAGACCAGUUUCAUUUACCAGACUUGCCAUGACAAGGUUGGCCAUGGGUGAAUUUGGUUCCAGUUCAACAGUCUCGGCUAUGACAGCAGCCGGGUGCACAGAGACGGCUGUGGCGUCUCCACUCUCUCUGAGCUUCAGCUGAGCUCCAGGUUAUUUUAAAAGGGGCUUUGUAUGAAUGUGUUUCUGUCUAUGUUAACAAAGCUUUCCGUAGAUGCAGAUCUAACUGAUGUGAGCCAAGAUGUGUAGUGGGGUAAACCUCAGUACUUAGACAUCCUGAAACCGAAAUCUAGACCCACACCCUGUCCGAAUACGACUUGAUCACUGCAUUUUGAUUUGGGUGGGAAACUAAAGCUAGUGCUCGCUCAGAAACACUUUCAAGCGAGCGCAAUCUGCCCAGUGGGCCGCUGUUUGCCUGCUCUAGUGCCCAGGUCAAGGGUGAUAAAUCUUACUCAGGCAACUGUAGGAAGGAAAUGGAAAGCCCAGUAUGUCGGGCUUAGUGGAGGUGUUGUAGUAACUACUUAGCAUUUACACAUGGACGCACGGCACCACGCAGGAGUUUUUCACCUCAUGCUUCCCAGUCUACUGAAAACCCGAAGGUAUGGCCCUCGUGGUCUCUCACAUAUAGACAUUGCUUACUGCCCCUAAGUGAUUCCAAAUGAAAACACAUGCGCACACACACACACACACAUGUACACACACAUAUACACACACAUACACACACGUACACACAUAUGCACACACACAUACAUACACAUGCACACACACAUACACACAUACACAUACACAUGCACACACGUACACACACGUACACGCACACAUACAUACACACGUACACACAUAUGUACACACACCUGUAUACACAUGCAUACUACAUACACACACACACACACACACGUACACGUGCGCACACACACAAUUCUCAUGUUUUGGAAUAAUAGUAAUUGCUGCUGCUACCAUUGCUCUGGGCAGUAGCCUGGAACGUCAAGUGUGUUGUUUGCUUAAUUUUCAUAACAACUCCACAGGGCAGGUCUCAUUAUCUCUCUUGUACACAUGAACAAAUUAAGGGUCAGAUAGGUUAAUAUGCCCAGUGCUGUGUAGCUAAAAUUGGCCUGUUCGGUAUUUAAAUCCUGCCGUUUAUGACUUAACGCUACCUCCCCUGGCAGUAAAGAGCCAGUCUUAGGGAAACACUACAUUGCUUCCUGUCAUGAAUCCGACCUGUCUUCUUUUAGGAAGAGACUAAUUAUUAUAAUAGUCAGUUCUGACAUUACCCUAAAAAUGGUGUCACCAGAUGGUCAUAGCGUUUUAUCAACAAAGCGUUUCAUUGUAUCCUGGUUUAUUUCUUCAUUCCUGCCUCAUGGGUGGGUCUCAUUCUUAAGAUUUCUGAGGCAGGUUCUGUUCCUUGGUCUUUCCUUUGCCUCUGUUUUACAGCGUGUCCUCGAAAGACAGAGCAGCUUAAUGUUUACGAAAAUCUGUAAACACAUUAGAUUAUAAAUCGAGUGAGUAUUACGCAGGCCUUUCCCCCUCUCUCAAAUACAAGGUACACAGAGGUUACAGGUCAGAAGUUCACAGCCCAGUGAGUGCUCUUGAGUGAACGCACUCAGCAGCCAGAUCGAGAGUGAGAGCACCAGUGGUCGAGCCAAUGCCGUCCCGAAUGUGGCUGGAAUAUUACUUCAAAGUCUAUUUAUAUAAGUGACCUUUUGAAAGCCCCUGAGAUGUGUUUAUACAAAGGCCUGGUUGAACAGUCCACCACACUGUGAAUCCACCCGAAACACGGCACCCUACAGUCACUGGGCUAUCUUCUCCUGAUAAUUAAGAUCUGGUUUUAAUGGCAGCCAUGUUAAAAAGACAUUGCCGUUCCGAAUUGUGAAAUUCUGUUUGUCAUUAAGAAGCAUUGCCUCAAUGUUUCAGUGCUAGCUUUCCUAUCUUCAGAGGAGGAUCUGCCAUGGUCGCUUCUGUCAGAGAACGAGAGACCCGCCUCUAGCACGAUGGGCAAUACUCAACGUUCUGAGAAUCAGACUGCGUGCACACGUGAGGGGAGUCAGUUACACUUCCAAGACGAGUCCCGUAGGGUGGAACAGAUGGUGCAGGACGACGUCUCAAGGAUGUGGAAAGCAUAGAUGGAACCCGCACCACAAAUGAGGUGAACCGUGUAAGAUAAGCGAGCAGGCAGGCCUCUGAGUUACAUGGAUACAGCUGGAAAGGUUUAGCCACUGUGGGUCGCACCAUUGCCUUGACUGGAUGCUGCACUGGAGGAGCUGAGCCACAGUAUGCGUUCAUCCAUCUCUGUUUCCUGAUUGCGGAGGAUGCAGUGUAACAGCUGCGUGGAGCUCCAACUCCAGGUGUCCCUGCCAGGAAGAACUGUAUUUGGCGCCGGGAGCCAGAAUAAACCCUUUCUCGAGUCAGUUGGCUUUGUCAGCAUAUUUUAUCACAGCAACAAAGUAACUAAGACAGACAGCAACAACCUGGAGUGUUCAACCCAGAACUUUUGUGAUGAUCAAAGGAAUUGUUGAAAAGCUUGACCUUGCCCUUUGUCCAAAGAGAAUAGACUUUGAGGGCAAGCCAUUCUCUUUCGUAGGGCCACAGGAGGAGAGCUAGAUGGGCUUGUGCUGUUCUUGUCCCAGACUGUUUUUUUAUGUGGCUGUUUGCUUUCCCAGUGCUGCCAGGGGCCUGGUCUUUGCUUGCCAAUGGCUCCUCUAAAGAAGGAUGCUGUGACCCACUGAAUUCUAACCGGAAUUAUCUUAGUGUGUAGUAGAAAAACCACCAUAGUAUCUCAUAAUUUUUUUUCACUGGGGAAUGUAUCUUUUUAAGCCUUUGGUUCCCUGAAAGGAAGCUUCAUGCCCAGGGUAUAAAGAUAAUUGGAGAUAGAUGGGGGAUAAGGCACAGCAAUAAAUCUAUGCUUGGGCUGGAGCGAUGGCUCAGUGGUUAAGAGCACUGACUGCUCUUCCAGAGGUCCCGAGUUCAAAUCCCAGCAACUGCAUGGUGGUUCACAACCAUCUGUAAAGGGAUCUGAUGCCCUCUUCUCAUGCGUCUGAAGACAGCGACAGUGUACUUGU